rnacentral:lncRNA from 1 species
UCUAGUGUGAUUUCAUGCAUGUUUGAUUUUCAUUCUGAUUUUGCAUUGAUUCUUUGUAAAAAGCUUGCUCUUGGUGGACUUUAGACAUGAUUUAGGCAUUCUUUCUUACCAUCCAUGACCNUUUAGUUUUACCAUUUCANUUCUGANCAUUGUACCNUAACUUUGAGCCUUNGCCAUUUUCUUUGUUUCCAUUCAGUACAAGCCAUUUUUCCUACCAAAUACCUAACCUGUAGAGACAUGUGAGAGGGAUGGAGGAUCUUNGAACUUGGUGAGUGCAAUAGAAAAGAAGGCCAGAAGAAAAAAAAAAAGAAAAGGAAAAUCAUCUUCCUCAUCGAGUUGCUGAGCUGGCAACUAUAGCUUGCACCCCAAGCUUCCCAAGCUGUGUAGCUUUCCCAGCACGCC